rnacentral:rRNA from 1 species
AACGAACGCUGGCGGCAUGCCUAACACAUGCAAGUCGAACGAAGGCUUCGGCCUUAGUGGCGCACGGGUGCGUAACGCGUGGGAAUCUGCCCCUCGGUUCGGAAUAACAGUUGGAAAUGACUGCUAAUACCGGAUGAUGACUUCGGUCCAAAGAUUUAUCGCCGAGGGAUGAGCCCGCGUAAGCUUAGGUAGUUGGUGGGGUAAAGGCCUACCAAGCCGACGAUCUUUAGCUGGUCUGAGAGGAUGAUCAGCCACACUGGGACUGGGACACGGCCCAGACUCCUACGGGAGGCAGCAGUGGGGAAUAUUGGACAAUGGGCGAAAGCCUGAUCCAGCAAUGCCGCGUGAGUGAUGAAGGCCUUAGGGUUGUAAAGCUCUUUUACCAGUGAUGAUAAUGACAGUACCUGGAGAAUAAGCUCCGGCUAACUCCGUGCCAGCCGCCGCGGUAA